CCGGCUCCGCCCGCCCGCCCCGCACCCCGCGCCGCCGCCCAUGGUGCUGCCCGGCCCGGCCGGCAUGGCCCGCUCCGAGGAGGUGCACCGCCUCACCGAGAAUGUCUACAAGACAAUCAUGGAGCAGUUCAAUCCCAGCCUCAGGAAUUUCAUUUCUAUGGGGAAGACCUAUGAAAAAGCCUUAGCAAGCAUGACAUACGCAGCAAAAGGGUACUUUGAUGCUCUGGUGAAGAUGGGAGAGUUGGCCAGUGAAAGCCAGGGAUCGAAAGAAUUGGGGGAUGUGCUCUUCCAGAUGGCAGAGGUGCACAGGCAGAUCCAGAACCAGCUGGAGGAGAUGCUCAAAUCCUUCCACAACGAGCUCCUGACGCAGCUGGAGCAGAAGGUGGAGCUGGACUCCCGGUACCUGAGUGCUGCGCUGAAGAAGUACCAGACAGAGCAGAGGAGCAAGGGGGACUCCCUGGACAAGUGCCAGGCAGAGCUGAAGAAACUUCGCAAGAAGAGCCAGGGCAGCAAGAACCCGCAGAAAUACUCGGACAAGGAGCUGCAGUACAUCGAAGCCAUCAGCAACAAGCAAGGGGAGCUGGAAAACUACGUCUCUGAUGGCUACAAGACCGCUCUGACGGAAGAGAGGAGACGGUUCUGCUUCCUGGUAGAGAAACAGUGCGCGGUGGCCAAGAGCGCCAUCACCUACCACGCCAAGGGGAAGGAGAUGCUGACACAGAAGCUGCCGCUGUGGCAGCAAUCCUGCUCGGAUCCCAACAAGAUCCCGGACCGCGCCAUACAGCUGAUGCAGCAGAUGGCUGCCAGCAGCAAUGGCACCAUUAUGCCCAGCCCUCUGUCCACAUCCAAGUCCAACCUCAUCAUCUCUGACCCCAUCCCUGGUGCCAAACCUCUCCCUGUCCCCCCGGAGCUGGCACCUUUUGUAGGACGCAUGUCAGCACAGGAGGCCAUGCCGGUGAUGAACGGAGUGUCGGGCUCUGACAGCGACGGGUACAACCACUGGUCUGAGAUGAAGCCAGCACAGCCCAAAUCUUUAUCUCCUCCCCAGCCUCAGAAGCAGCUGAGUGACUCUUACUCCAAUACACUCCCAGUUCGCAAAAACGUGCCACCGAAAAACAGCUACGCCUCAGCUGAAAACAAGACACUGCCCCGCUCCAGCUCCAUGGCUGCCGGGCUCGAGAGGAACGGCCGGACGAGGGUGCAGGCGAUUUUCUCGCACGCUGCUGGGGAUAACAGCACCCUCCUGAGCUUCAAGGAGGGGGACCUCAUCACUCUGCUGGUGCCCGAGGCCCGGGACGGCUGGCACUACGGAGAGAGCGAGAAAACCAAAAUGAGGGGCUGGUUUCCUUUCUCCUACACACGGGUCCUUGACAAUGAUGGCAGCGAGCGGGUCCACACCAGCCUGCAGCAAGGGAAGAGCAGCAGCACUGGCAACCUCCUGGACAAGGAUGACAUCUCCAUCCCGCCGCCGGACUACGGCAUGGCCUCCCAGGCCUUCCCGGCACAGGGCGGCAACACCUUCAAGCAGCGGCCGUACAGCGUGGCCGUGCCCGCCUUCUCCCAGGACUACCUAAUGCCCUAUGGGUGUGCAAUUAAAGACUAUUCCAGUGGCCUCUGCCAAGCACCCUCCGCUCACUACAAGCCUUACACUAGGUCGACAGCUGUAAGUCCGACGCUUGCAAUGUUUCCCUUGGGAUUUAUGGAAAUUUGGCUGUUUUGUGCCUGGUGAUCCACGUGCCUUGCCUGGACCCCGCUCCUGCCGAGCACCUCUCGUGGGGUGGAGCAGGGAGAUGAUGGAUGGGGAGGAACGGGCAAGGCACGGGGGGCAGUGGCACAAAACGGCCCCGUAAACCCCCAAAGGACAACACUUGCUGACUCCAUGGGAGGCUCCCACCAGAAACAGGCUGCUCACAGGCAGCUGGAAGUGUUUUCUCUGGCCAAUUCAAGCCGGUGACAGUCCCGUGGGGACACUGGGGCAGACCUGGACAGGAUUCCAGAGUGUCCAAAGCAAGCCCAGGGUUUCUGGGAUAGCCAGCCAGGGAGGAUGCAGGAGCAGAUGGGAUCAGCCUAAUCCAGGAGCUACUGCUGUAGUGGAACUCUCCCACCAGAAUGAGCCCGGUGGGACGAGCCAGGCUGGCAUCACGUGCUGGCAGAUGGGGAGAGGAUGAGGAGGGAGAGAGAAGGGCAGUCAGCACCGAGCCUUUGACAGGCACAUCAGCUGGGAUCUGAUCCUCUCAGCAGGGACUGGGGUGGAAGCACACCCCACUUCUUGCUGUUUUACUGGGGUUUUCCAGCAGGAUUUGCUGCUGGGGUUGGUAUUUUGUGGCUGGGAGCAUUCCUGGGGAGGUGGGAAUGUGGGUCUCUGGCCGCUGGCAUGGCCACAGACUCCCUCUCUUUCCUGGAGUGCUCCCGUGUUUGUCAUGGAGAGCAGAGCUGCUCCAGUUGUAUCCCAGGGCAGGCCCUUGCUCAGGGAGGGAUGUCCUUCACGGAUGUCCUGAGGGAUGUUCUCCGGGCCUGGUGCCCCUCUGCCCCUCGGUGCCUCCCUCAAAGCCUGCUCAGCACCGGCUAAAGGAGAAAAUGGUCCAAAACCCUGUGGGUUUCUGGUGGGAGUGAAUACAGGCAACCCCUCUUUCCACAGAACAUUUCACUGGUGUCUCUCAGUCGUGCAGUCCCUUCCCAACAGUCUCAGCAUCUCAGCAGCAGCCAGAGCUCUGUUCCUCGGAGGGGCUGGGCAGAGCAGAGGGGCUCUCCCAGCAGUGUCUGCCCAGAUAAAUUCUACAGAGAGUGGUGCAGCUUCACUCCCUGCUGUCUGAAUCCCACUCCAAUCAUCUCCAUACCUCCCUGUCCUCUCCAAAUGCAUCAGCGCUUGGCCCUGGGUCCUGAUGCACUUUGGUUUGUUGGUGUGACCCUCCGGUGGCGCCUGAGCAGGCACAGCCCACACGUCCCUCACUGUGCUUCCUCCCCUCCUCUCCACAGGGUCUGGAUGACUACGGGACGAGGUCGGUCAGCAGGUAAGAUGUCACCUUCCUGUCGUGUUCCCUGCGAGCUGUUGGUGUUGGCUGUGGGUGAAGCCGUGGGGCUGUGUCCCCACAGGGGUCCCUGCGUGGGCUCCCCGGCAGUGCCUGGGAUGGGGCCAGGUCUCAUCUGUGAGAGUGGGGGGACCCAGGGGGGGCAGGUCCCGGGGCCAGCCUGGUGUCCCCAACCUCGUGCUCCUCCAGAGUCGCGUCUCCCGCACUCCCCCGGGCUCACGGCGGGGCGGUGAAGCCACGGAGAGCCCCCGCUCCGGCACCUCCUCCAUCCCCUCUGCUCGGAGCUGCCCCGUGUCGCUCUUGGGGCUAAGCCCGAGCCCGUGGCUGGGCAGAGCUCGGCCCCGGUCCGUGGUGGGUGCCGCGGUGCCCUGAGGGGAGCUGGCUCCCGGCUCGGUGCUGCCCCGCGGCCACUCUGGCAUCUCUGUGCUUUGUUCCGCAGCGGCAGUGGCAGUUUGGUAUCAACGGUGUGAGGACACCUGGGCUCGCAGCGGCCCCUUGCUGCUUGGAAGAGCUUUCUGCUUCUUUCCCCCCCCCCUUUUUUUUUCCUUCCCUUUCGUUUCUCUUUCUCUACUUCUUUUGGAUUUGAAACUCUUGUGAUCUUCAAGGAAACCAUGGUGCUUCUCACCCCUCCCUGGUGUUCACAGUGCCCUUGUUUCUGAAGCCUUUUUGGAGCAGAAACUGCCGCCAGGGGCCGCGCCGGCCGCCCCGCACGAGCCUGGACCAAACUCCCAGACUGGAUCACAUAUGCAUGGCCUCUGGUGUCCGUACUGUUACCGAGCAUCCGGGAUGCCCGCGCCCGGGAUGCCGUUCCCGCAGGGGGAGCAGCGUCCCCGCGCCUCCCCCUCGGCCCGAUCCGCUUCCAUCCCACCGCGGUGGCUUUGGGAGAAGCGGAUGGCACAGAGCUCCCGCCCCGGGGAAAGGGCUGCUCUUCUGGGCUGGGGUCCCGCCGGCCGCGGGAACCCCCCCGGAAGGGUUACUCCUGGUUGUUUUAUAAAUAUAUAUAUAUAUAUAUUUUUUGUAGCAAGGUAUUGUUACCUCACGUUAGGGCUGGGGCUCCGAGGACUGCUCGCAUCCCCAAACCAGGCUUGGGCGAGGCAGCCCCCGCGGGGGGCUCGGCAGUGCCCGGGGGGCUCCCACCCCGCACGGGGGUCCCGCUCCCGCACUAGCCCGGCCGUAGCCCUCCCAGUGCCCGUGGCCGUCUCCACUGCAAAGCUGUUCACGCUUUUUUCUGAUGUGAUUUUUAAGACCUCUGACAUUGCCUGUUUACUGGGACAUUGCUGGCAAUAGACCCCCGACCGCCCCCCAACCCCGGACCAGUUUUUGGGUUAUUUCCUCGCCUACGGGCGCACUGUUCUGAGCCCCUCCUGCAUCGAUGUCCGAAUUUUGCUAAGGAUUUUUAACCCAGGAUAUUUCACGAUGAAUGACUGAAUGUAGAGGGAAAAAAAAAAACAAAAACAAAAACAAACAACAAACCACAAACCCAGCCUAGCAAAGCCUGUGUGGAGAUUGUAAAGUGCUGAAAAACCUUUUUUUAAGAGCCAGAGAGAAUUGUGCCCUGUACUGAGUUAUUGUUUGAAUAAAAGUUUUAUUUAUUGCAUUGA